rnacentral:rRNA from 1 species
ACUCCUACGGGAGGCAGCAGUGGGGAAUAUUGGACAAUGGGCGCAAGCCUGAUCCAGCCAUGCCGCGUGAGUGAUGAAGGCCUUAGGGUUGUAAAGCUCUUUGUCCGGGACGAUAAUGACGGUACCGGAAGAAUAAGCCCCGCUAGCUUACGUGCCAGCAGCCGCGGUAAUACGAAGGGCGUAGCGUUGCUCGGAAUCACUGGGCGUAAAGGGCGCGUAGGCGGCCUUGUAAGUUGGGGGUGAAAGCCCGUGGCUCAACCACGGAAUUGCCUUCGAUACUGCUUGGCUUGAGUGUGGUAGAGGUUGGUGGAACUGCGAGUGUAGAGGUGAAAUUCGUAGAUAUUCGCAAGAACACCGGUGGCGAAGGCGGCCAACUGGACCAUCACUGACGCUGAGGCGCGAAAGCGUGGGGAGCAAACAGGAUUAGAUACCCUGGUAGCGUCGUCUU